rnacentral:rRNA from 1 species
UGCAAGUCGAGCGGACAGAAGGGAGCUUGCUCCCGGAUGUUAGCGGCGGACGGGUGAGUAACACGUGGGUAACCUGCCUGUAAGACUGGGAUAACUCCGGGAAACCGGAGCUAAUACCGGAUAGUUCCUUGAACCGCAUGGUUCAAGGAUGAAAGACGGUUUCGGCUGUCACUUGCAGAUGGACCCGCGGCGCAUUAGCUAGUUGGUGGGGUAAUGGCUCACCAAGGCGACGAUGCGUAGCCGACCUGAGAGGGUGAUCGGCCACACUGGGACUGAGACACGGCCCAGACUCCUACGGGAGGCAGCAGUAGGGAAUCUUCCGCAAUGGACGAAAGUCUGACGGAGCAACGCCGCGUGAGUGAUGAAGGUUUUCGGAUCGUAAAGCUCUGUUGUUAGGGAAGAACAAGUGCGAGAGUAACUGCUCGCACCUUGACGGUACCUAACCAGAAAGCCACGGCUAACUACGUGCCAGCAGCCGCGGUAAUACGUAGGUGGCAAGCGUUGUCCGGAAUUAUUGGGCGUAAAGGGCUCGCAGGCGGUUUCUUAAGUCUGAUGUGAAAGCCCCCGGCUCAACCGGGGAGGGUCAUUGGAAACUGGGAAACUUGAGUGCAGAAGAGGAGAGUGGAAUUCCACGUGUAGCGGUGAAAUGCGUAGAGAUGUGGAGGAACACCAGUGGCGAAGGCGACUCUCUGGUCUGUAACUGACGCUGAGGAGCGAAAGCGUGGGGAGCGAACAGGAUUAGAUACCCUGGUAGUCCACGCCGUAAACGAUGAGUGCUAAGUGUUAGGGGGUUUCCGCCCCUUAGUGCUGCAGCUAACGCAUUAAGCACUCCGCCUGGGGAGUACGGUCGCAAGACUGAAACUCAAAGGAAUUGACGGGGGCCCGCACAAGCGGUGGAACAUGUGGUUUAAUUCGAAGCACGCGAAGAACCUUACCAGGUCUUGACAUCCUCUGACAACCCUAGAGAUAGGGCUUUCCCUUCGGGGACAGAAUGACAAGUGGUGCAU